rnacentral:rRNA from 1 species
AUUGAACGCUGGCGGCAUGCCUUACACAUGCAAGUCGAACGGCAGCACGGGAGCAAUCCUGGUGGCGAGUGGCGAACGGGCGAGUAAAGCAUCGGAACGUACCUGGAAGUGGGGGAUAGCCCGGCGAAAGCCGGAUUAAUACCGCAUACGACCUGAGGGUGAAAGCGGGGGAUUGCAAGACCUCGCGCUAUUGGAGCGGCCGAUGUCAGAUUAGCUAGCUGGUGGGGUAAAGGCCUACCAAGGCGACGAUCUGUAGCUGGUCUGAGAGGACGACCAGCCACACUGGGACUGAGACUCGGCCCAGACUCCUGCGGGAGGCAGCAGUGGGGAAUUUUGGACAAUGGGCGCAAGCCUGAUCCAGCCAUGCCGCGUGCGGGAAGAAGGCCUUCGGGUUGUAAACCGCUUUUGUCAGGGAAGGAAUCUUCUGGGUUAAUACCUCGGGAGGAUGACGGUACCUGAAGAAUAAGCACCGGCUAACUACGUGCCAGCCGCCGCCGUAAGAC